ACGUAGGGGGCGAGCGUUGUCCGGAAUUACUGGGCGUAAAGGGUGCGUAGGCGGUUGAUUAAGUCUCAUGUGAAAUACCCGGGCUUAACUUGGGGGUUGCAUGGGAAACUGGCUGACUUGAGUGCAGGAGAGGUAAGUGGAAUUCCUAGUGUAGCGGUGAAAUGCGUAGAUAUUAGGAGGAACACCAGUGGCGAAGGCGACUUACUGGACUGCAACUGACGCUGAGGCACGAAAGCGUGGGGAGCAAACAG
rnacentral:rRNA from 1 species